UGUGCAUGUGCAACAGAGUGUGAAGCAUCUUGAGGGAAAAGUUAUGCAUAAGAGGAAUCAGAUGUGGUGUGCAGGAGAGAUGACUGAGCUGGUAUGGUCAUGUGGUGAGAAUGGAUGAGGACAGUUGUGUAAAGAUGUGCUGAUCUCUAAGUGUGGAGCAUGAUCUUUGAACAAUGGGCCUCACAGAAGCAAUGACUAGUGACUGAGACCUUUGGUGUUGUGCUGUACUUGAGAGGACCAGUCAAGCCAAGUGUAUCCAUGCUAGUGGCAUGUAAAGAACAUCUUUUGAAUGU